UACGAAGGGGGCAAGCGUUGUUCGGAAUUACUGGGCGUAAAGGGCGCGUAGGCGGUUUGCUAAGUCAGGGGUGAAAGCCCGGAGCUCAACUCCGGAACUGCCAUUGAAACUGUUGAACUUGAGGACGAGAGAGGUGAGUGGAAUUCCCAGUGUAGAGGUGAAAUUCGUAGAUAUUGGGAGGAACACCGGUGGCGAAGGCGGCUCACUGGCUCGUUUCUGACGCUCAGGCGCGAUAGCGUGGGGAUCAAACAGG
rnacentral:rRNA from 1 species